UCUCCCCUCACCAUCUCAACAGAUUCUCCCCAAGUUUUCAAAUCACUCGGAUGUUUGGUUGAAUUCUGUAAUUACAGAAGCCUAUCCUCUUUCGAAAUUAAUACGUAUGAUUUCUCUGUGUUAAUAAUUACACCAAUUAUCAUUGGCAUAUAUCACAAGACAAACUAUUCUUUAUGUUCGGAGUCAUAUAUAAUAUCUUUCUUUGACUGAUCUUAUCAUC
rnacentral:lncRNA from 1 species